rnacentral:tRNA from 1 species
GGAUAGCUCAGUUGGUAGAACACGAGACUCUUAAUUCAUGGUUGUGGGUUCAAGCCCCAUGUUGGGCA